CACUUGAAACAUUCUGAGUGUGCCUGCAGUAGGGUCUCAGAGGAGUUGCUCUGAAAGCUGUUGAGAGCAGCCACCUUUGCUGUCACUGAGAGCUUGGCAGGGUCAGCUCUGGUGGGCCGUUUGCACCCAGGCUCUGAUGGCACCAGGAUGGCUUCCUGCAACCCGGGAACCUGAUCCUGGCCCCCGGCAGAGCAUAAGGGCCCGAGGCCAGGGACCUAGAGGCCGGACCAAGUUCGCGCGAGGUGUUCACAGCCUAGGCGCCCCGGGCUUGGCUUCGUACUCUGCAACAAGCCAAGCUCCCUUGCCACGAGUAUAUCAGCAACUUCAGAAAUAAACACCAGCGAAACCCCUUCCCACAUUAGCUUGUUGCUGUGCUACUGACACUGGGCUUAGUCGAUGUUCACACCUAUUACAUUUUUCCGGAAAGUGGGAGGAGCAGGGGGUAGAGAAAGCUGUGUGUAUUGAGGGAAGGGGAGAUGUGUGCAACACCUUCCAGAAAAAUGGGGAGGUAGUUUAGAAAGUUUUUCUCUGUAACAGCACAGCUUCUGAGAAGGCAGAGAGAAGAAAGCAGACAGGAAACGAAUCCCUUCCUCCUCUCCCCUUUACCCCCUUCCUUCACUCCCUAGACCAAGCUGGUCACCCGGCUGGGAAUCAAGAUUGUGUGGCUGGGAAGACACCAGUCUCUGUGCUCGGGUUCAGCCCAGUCGGGCAAGAAAGUCUGGGCAGCUGGAGAAGGUCGUCACAGUCUCCCGUGGAAUCUUGUUGCCUGAGAGCCCCAUAACGGAAAGGGCUAAGACGACUCUUCCACACACAGGUCGCAGCCCCUGCCGCGGAGGAUCCCCAGGAAGAUGCUGGGGACGCUCUGAGCAUCGGCCUUUCUUUACCCCCGACUCCCUGGAGCUUGGUCUCGGGAUGCCAACUUGGGGCACGGAGGCGACGGGCUGCUCCGAAGCUGGAGGGUUUCUGCUUGGGUCAGAGGGAUCACGACCUCAGCAGAGCCAGGAGAGGUUGGGUGACACCCACUGCGUAUUGCACUUGACUCAAAACUGCCCUCGGCCUGCGGAAGAGGCGAGGGCAAGAAGCCUGGUGGCGGGUCAAACCUUCACCCUAUUAUUUUCUAUCAUUUUUUAUGCCCAUAUAUUUGUUAAAUGUAUGGCUGCUAUACACCAACAGCUUAUUCUACAAGAAGUGCCCCCGAGGAGGAUUGGGUUAAGCUUUGCAAAUUUGGCUUCCCAGGUAAUGCGCUUCAUUAUUCUGCUCCCGACUUACCCACCACACCAGUGGGUACCCGGAGCAGCACCCACUUGGCAGAACUGAUGACUGCUUGGGCCCAGCGGAGUGCGCAUUGCGCUAACACGCGCACGGGAAUUGCACCCUUGCCGGAGCCUCCGCACCGUGCGCCCUUCAAAGAGCUGGCGACCCCGCUCACGUGUAAGCAACCUCCCACUUUGAAACUAAUUCGCACCCGGGUCUUUCACCCCAAAGGACUUUGCUGCGGACGCUGCUCUGACCCAAGACGCGGGAGAGAAGUCCCAAAGGCUACAGCCAGGGGCUGGGGGACUCCUCUGCUCACCUUAGUCCUUGAUUUCGAAGGCCCCAAUUAACUAUCUGUUGUGUCAGAAUCGGCGAGUGCAAAGUAGCUGCGCCCCGCUGACGCGCUCUCUCCUGGGUCCGGGUAUCCCAGGGCAUCCGGAGCUGGGGAGGGUUGUGCGGACUACCCAAGGCACGCGCAGAUACCGGGCAGGGAAGAAGGGCUCCGUGUUCCAAGGAUGGUCGUUUACCUCUCCUGAGAUCAGCCCUAAUCCCUUGGUAACUUAAGCGCCUCUGAACUCGGGGAGCGCUUGGUGGGGCGCCUCCCUGCAUCCACCCCUACCCCUGGCUCCUUCCCAGGCCCAGCAUCUUUCCCACCAUUCUCACCCCCACCACCCCCACGGCCCCGCCCGUUUAGAGGCGUGCGGUGGGCACUUGGUUUACAGAACCGGCGUUUCAGAUGUUUAUUUGCAACUAAUUUCUUGUGCUGGAAAAUGCUUGUUACCCGGGCGGAGCGCUUCCGCUCUGCGCGGUCCGGCCCGGCGGGCGGUAGCUCGCUGAUCCCUCCGGCGAAGCCUCCAAGGAGCGGGCGGCUGGGAGAGGUUGUGCCACCCGGGACCAAGCCAUCGGCGCUGCUCCGGACUCCCGGUAGGGGGAGCCGCCGCGGGCGCCAGGCCGGAUUGUGUUCUGGCCUCGGGGCGGCCCUGCUGCCAGCGGCCGGGACUCUCAGCACAGAGCUCGGGAGGACUCCACCUGCUCUCCAGAUAAGGCGCCAUGAGCAGAGAAGGGAACAGACGGCCAAGCUCCCUCCUAAUUCCCCGUUGUUGCAGAGCAAAGAAGAUGGGGGAGAACUAAUUAUAUUCUCUAGGUCUAAAUAUUGUUGAAAAAUUUGUAGGUGAGAUCACCUCCUUUGCCCAUAUCCAUAUAUAAUAUAUCCAUUACAUGUGUUUGCCCAUAUAUAUACGUAUGCCAUAUGUAAAUAUGUACGAGUGUGUAUGUAUGUGUAUAGCAGUGGUUUAGAAUUAGUCUCAGUUCCACAAAUUUUGAGCCCUUUUAAUAUUUUAGGUGACCUAAUACCUUCUCACUGUAUUUUCCAAGUCACUUAUUUCCAAGAGUUUUAGGUGAUCCCAGCAUAGGAGCUGAGCAUAGGAGCUCAGAUGAGACUUGCCAGUUUUGCUGCAGUAAUGUCAGCAAAAGAGUCUCUCUCUUUCUGACUCUAUAGACUUAAGUAAGGGUUUACAGGCUUUCAUUUUAAGGUAUGACUGAUAUUUAGAGAACAAGACUAAACCAAGGUCAAGGGGAAAACAGUUAGACUGUGAACCUGCAGACCACUCCACUGCACCCAGUGUGGCCGUACACCUGUGCUGAACGGCCAGAGACUUCCUGGUCAAUACUCCCACAGAUAAAAGACUGCAGGAUCUGCUUAUACACAAAUCCAUCUUUCGCUGGGAACCCACAACUCAUAACAACUCUCCUAAUGCCAAGUCAUCAAGGCCUCUUGAAAGAGAAUCAUAAAAAACAAAGAAUUUCAAACUUGGAAGGAAACCUAAAGUUUACUGGUGAGGAGCUUGAACUGAGUAGAAGCAAAGAAUCAUACUCCAGAUGAGAAACGCCCCAUGCACUGAGCUGAGACUGGAACUCUCCUCUUCUUACUCUCAGUCCAGUAAGUUUGACUACAGAGCACUCAUUAUCAUUGUGAUUAUUAUGUUCCCGCAUAUUUUGUCGUUCUUAGUUAGGCAUACUCCUUUAACACUAUUGUAAUAAAAGCAAAAUCUGGAAGAUCUUUAA
rnacentral:lncRNA from 1 species